AAAGGGGAGUUGACAUGAUUUCAAUAGACAAAAGAGAAUUGUUUCGAAAUUACAAAGUGUACACAUGCCUGCUAUCCAAUGGCGCUUUGAUGCACACCAGUAUGAGGUCGGGAUGCUUGCUGGUGCUACCAUCGGUGGUCAGGUCUUUGCAACCUAGGGCCUUUGCAGAAACCUUAUGUGGUUCACCACUAUACGGUGGAUGCCAAACUUGCCUCCAUCUUUGCUUGGACACGAGGACUUGCUCACAGGGCUAAGUUGGACAACAACGAUAGACUCUCGGAUUUCACCGAGAAGCUUGAAGCAGCUUGCAUUGGUGCUGUGGAGUCUGGAAAGAUGACCAAGGAUCUUGCACUUAUCAUCCAUGGGUCAAAGUGAGUGUCACCCCCACGGCCCACCUCCACCCCCUUUAGUUAAUAUCUUCAAUUAAUU